CAAAGCAUAAUCUUGGAAACUUUAGGCACCAUACGAAUUUGGUGCAGCUUCAGAGAACCGUGAGACCUCGAAAUUGCGCGAGCUCGGAAAAGUGUGGAGAAUAUUCAUUUUCUACAGAUCUUACAGACAAUAAAGGUCAUCUUUUCAAUCGACACGCAUCAAAUUGGGCUGUUAGCUCCCAGAAUACACAACCAUGGUUCUUCAGCUGAUAUCAAGGUAUUGGUGGGCGGCUAUCGUACCCUCCGGCAUCGUUGUUGGAAUGUACUUUGACAAACGAGAGACUGAAAGGCUGAGUGGAUGGAAGAACAAGACGGAGCUGUACAGACGGGAGCUCAAACCAGGAGAAAACCCAUGGAAGGCCUACUAGUAUGUUGCGUGUUGAUAACUAGGGAUAAUAUGAAGGUAGAUACUAAUUCUGAUUUAUUGAGUAACGAGUGCAUCUGUUCAUCACAAGCUGUUGUGCAUCUGUCAUAAAAAACAAAAAAACAAAUUGAGUUUGUAAUUUCGGAACUUGGAAUUAUUUUUUGUGCACUGGAUUUAUCCUCCAAACGGCCAGCCAUCAACUUCUAAUGCAGUCUCGCACAUGUGAUUGGCAGCUUAUCACAGUAACAGAUGUGUUCCCGGGAAACAUAGCAAGAUAUGCGGAGAGUCUGAGAUCUUGAAGACAUUGGAUUCUGAUGGUUGUCAUGAUUCUAUCACAGGGAUGUACCACUAGGCAUCAAGUUCACCCAGUUGCUGAACUGACUCAAAUAGCUUACACGUACUUCGUGCAGGAUAAACGGCCUUGAACAGCCUCCGGAACAUCCCAAUGCAUUUUCAGCAUGCUAACUUGACAGCCUGUCAUCUGACUGCACUUCAAAGUCAUACAUGACAUCUUCAAGCAAACUUGAAUCCUUGAUCGUGAUUGGUCGAUCCAUGGCAACAACAGUAUGGUAUUGUCCCGUUUAUCACGGUCCAUAUCGCACUCUGCGUAUCGCACUACUCUAAGAUGCGUGUGCCAUUCCUACUGCACGCACGUAUGUGCAUGUUCCAUCUUAAGUGUGCAUCAAGUUGGCUUGAAGAGAAACUCAUUAUCCCACUCGGGCUCGUGGAACAUUGAAAAUGUAGUGCGUCUGUGUUUAUAUGCCCCUCGGCCCAGAUGCACUACAUUUUUCCAUGUUCCACGCAGACUCGAAGGAUAACUA